rnacentral:rRNA from 1 species
UACGGAGGGAGCUAGCGUUAUUCGGAAUUACUGGGCGUAAAGCGUACGUAGGCGGCUUUGUAAGUUAGAGGUGAAAGCCUGGAGCUCAACUCCAGAACUGCCUUUAAGACUGCAUCGCUUGAAUCCGGGAGAGGUGAGUGGAAUUCCGAGUGUAGAGGUGAAAUUCGUAGAUAUUCGGAAGAACACCAGUGGCGAAGGCGGCUCACUGGACCGGCAUUGACGCUGAAGUACGAAAGCGUGGGGAGCAAACAGG